rnacentral:sRNA from 1 species
UGCCUAACCCUCAUGGAGUGAUCCGUGAGGUAUGGCACAAAAUCCCAUCCCUGAUACUGAACCCCGUGUUCAGCAACCCAGGGAUGGGUCAUGUCUCGAAAGGGGCGUGGGGCCGAAAGGUCC